GACAGAGGGGGCAAGCGUUGCUCGGAAUCACUGGGCGUAAAGCGCACGUAGGCGGGUUCUUAAGUCAGGGGUGAAAUCCUGGAGCUCAACUCCAGAACUGCCUUUGAUACUGGGAAUCUCGAGUCCGGGAGAGGUGAGUGGAACUGCGAGUGUAGAGGUGAAAAUUCGUAGAUAUUCGCAAGAACACCAGUGGCGAAGGCGGCUCACUGGCCCGGUACUGACGCUGAGGUGCGAAAGCGUGGGGAGCAACAGG
rnacentral:rRNA from 1 species